CCUACGGGGGGCUGCAGUGGGGAAUAUUGGACAAUGGGCGAAAGCCUGAUCCAGCCAUGCCGCGUGUGUGAAGCAGGCCUUCGGGUUGUAAAGCACUUUCAGUGGGGAAGAAAGCCUUGGGGCUAAUACCCUCGAGGAAGGACAUCACCCACAGAAGAAGCACCGGCUAACUCCGUGCCAGCAGCCGCGGUACUACGGAGGGUGCGAGCGUUAAUCGGAAUUACUGGGCGUAAAGCGCGCGUAGGCGGUCUGAUAAGCCGGUUGUGAAAGCCCCGGGCUCAACCUGGGAACGGCAUCCGGAACUGUCAGGCUAGAGUGCAGGAGAGGAAGGUAGAAUUCCCGGUGUAGCGGUGAAAUGCGUAGAGAUCGGGAGGAAUACCAGUGGCGAAGGCGGCCUUCUGGACUGACACUGACGCUGAGGUGCGAAAGCGUGGGUAGCAAACAGGAUUAGAUACCCCAGUAGUC
rnacentral:rRNA from 1 species